rnacentral:rRNA from 1 species
GACGAACGCUAGCGGCGUGCUUAACACAUGCAAGUCGAGCGGUAAGGCCUUUCGGGGUACACGAGCGGCGAACGGGUGAGUAACACGUGGGUGAUCUGCCUUGCACUUCGGGAUAAGCCUGGGAAACUGGGUCUAAUACCGGAUAUGACCAUGGGAUGCAUGUCUUGUGGUGGAAAGAUUUAUCGGUGCGAGAUGGGCCCGCGGCCUAUCAGCUUGUUGGUGGGGUAAGGCCUACCAAGGCGACGACGGGUAGCCGACCUGAGAGGGUGACCGGCCACACUGGGACUGAGACACGGCCCAGACUCCUACGGGAGGCAGCAGUGGGGAAUAUUGCACAAUGGGCGAAAGCCUGAUGCAGCGACGCCGCGUGCGGGAUGACGGCCU